rfam:Ictidomys tridecemlineatus contig099856, whole genome shotgun sequence.
AGGGUUGUAGCUCAGUGAUUGAGCACUUGCCUUGCAUGCAUGAGGCACUGAGUUCCAUCCUCAGCACCACAU